rnacentral:rRNA from 1 species
ACGUGGGUAAUCAACCCUCGGUACUGGGAUAGCCCGGGGAAACCCGGAUUAAUACCGGAUGGCCCUUUGGAUCUUCGGUUCUGAAGGAAAAGGUAGCUUCGGCCUCCGACCGAGGACGAGCCCGCGGCGGAUUAGCUUGUUGGUGGGGUAACGGCCUACCAAGGCGGCGAUCCGUAGCUGGUCUGAGAGGACGAUCAGCCACACUGGGACUGAGACACGGCCCAGACUCCUACGGGAGGCAGCAGUGGGGAAUCUUGCGCUAAUGCGGGAAACCGUGACGCAGCGACGCCGCGUGAGGGA